UAAAACUUUCAACAACGGAUCUCUUGGUUCUGGCAUCAAUGAAGAACGCAGCGAAAUGCGAUAAGUAAUGUGAAUUGCAGAAUUCAUUGAAUCAUCGAAUCUUUGAACGCACAUUGCGCCCUCUGGUAUUCCAAAGGGCAUGCCUGUUCUAGCGUCAUUU
rnacentral:rRNA from 1 species